rnacentral:rRNA from 1 species
UAGGGAAUAUUAGAAAUGGAUGAAAGUCUGAUCUAGUAACACCGCGUGUGCGAAGAAGGCCUUCGGGUCGUAAAGCACUUUUUGGAAGGAAUAGGAAGGAAUGUACUUCCAGAAUAAGUCUCGGCUAACUACGUGCCAGCAGCCGCGGUAACACGUAGGAGGCGAACGUUAUCCGGAUUUACUGGGCGUAAAGCGCGUGUAGGUGGUUCUGUAAGUAGGGCGUGAAAGCUCCUGGCUCAACUGGGAGAGGCCGUUCUAAACUACAGAGCUAGAGGAUGGUAGAGGGAGGUGGAAUUCCAGGUGUAGCGGUGGAAUGCGCAGCUAUCUGGAGGAACACCAGUGGCGAAGGCGGCCUCCUGGACCAUUCCUGACACUCAGACGCGAAAGCUAGGGUAGCAAACG